AGCAGUGUUUGAGCUGUAGUUAUCGGGUUUUCCUGGCUCUUUCUCAGAAGACUGGAACAAGGACUUCAUUCCCUGUUCCUGAAAUGGGCCUUUCCUGUGCUGAUCCUCUCCUGGUUCAUACAGCCCAUGUACAAACAGUCUGCUUCUCAGGAUGAAAACAACUCAGUCAACCAGGAGUGCUACAAAGGAUGCUCAUUGGAGCCCUGUGAGGAAGAGGCCCACAUUCUUCUUUAAGACAUACACAGGAACUUUGUCUUCUGGGGUGCUUAUGCCCAUAGUAUCAAUUGAGAGGGGCAGCAGAGCUUCUGAGAUAUGAAGAAGGUGCUUCCAUAUGAUGAUCAAGAGGUCUAUACGGACAUCGGAAGGGCAUCGGAAGGGCAUCGGAAGGUGUCCAGCCGAGAGGUAUGUGCGGGAAUGGCUCUGCCAGAUGUAUUAGCAGGGAACUGUCCCCCUUGCUGGGCCGAGUGGAAAUGAAGAGAAACAUCUCCAUUCCACCUUGAUUGCAUCCCCACUGGAUGGAAAUAUUGAAUGCCCUUUGGUCCUGGCUGUAGCCAUAUCCUCUCCCUUCCUGUGUUUCUGACUGCCUCUUCUUUCACCCUUAGGAGUCUCAGAGCUGGUACUCCCUCAGCAGGCACCGUUGGAUGGGCAUCGGCUUCCCACUCGGUUCCAGGCUCACUUAUAGCCAUCAGCACCUGAUAGAUAUCCUAAAGUAGAAUGUGCCUCCAUACCCUGACCUUGGUGCUUGGCUGUUUG